UGGGGAAUUUUGCACAAUGGGGGAAACCCUGAUGCAGCGACGCCGCGUGAUUUAGAAGGCCUUCGGGUUGUAAAAAUCUUUUCUAUGGGAAGAAAAUGACAGUACCAUAGGAAUAAGGACCGGCUAAUUACGUGCCAGCAGCCGCGGUAAUACGUAAGGUCCGAGCGUUGUCCGGAAUCAUUGGGCGUAAAGGGUACGUAGGCGGGUAAGCAAGUUAGAAGUGAAAUCCUGUAGCUCAACUACAGUAAGCUUUUAAAACUGCUCAUCUUGAGAUAUGGAAGGGAAAGUGGAAUUCAUAGUGUAGCGGUGAAAUGCGCAAAUAUUAGGAGGAAUACCGGUGGCGAAGGCGACUUUCUGGCCAUAAUCUGACGCUGAGGUACGAAGGCGUGGGUAGCAAACAGG
rnacentral:rRNA from 1 species